rnacentral:rRNA from 1 species
GACGAACGCUGGCGGCGUGCUUAACACAUGCAAGUCGAACGGUGACCCAGGGCUUGCCCUGGUGAUCAGUGGCGAACGGGUGAGUAACACGUGGGCAACCUGCCCCUGACUUCGGGAUAACUCCUCGAAAGAGGAGCUAAUACCGGAUACGACCACUUCGGACAUCCGAUGGUGGUGGAAAGUUUUUCGGUCAGGGAUGGGCCCGCGGCCUAUCAGCUAGUUGGUGGGGUAAUGGCCUACCAAGGCGACGGCGGGUAGCCGGCCUGAGAGGGCGACCGGCCACACUGGGACUGAGACACGGCCCAGACUCCUACGGGAGGCAGCAGUGGGGAAUAUUGCGCAAUGGGCGAAAGCCUGACGCAGCGACGCCGCGUGAGGGAUGAAGGCCUCGGUUGUAACCGUCUUUCAGCAGGGACGAAGCGAAAGUGACGGUACCUGCAGAAGAAGACACCGGCUAACUACGUGCCAGCAGCCGCGGUAA